CGGCGGACGGGUGAGUAACGCGUGGGUAACCUGCCUCAUACAGGGGGAUAACAGUUAGAAAUGGCUGCUAAUACCGCAUAAGCGCACAGGACCGCAUGGUCUGGUGUGAAAAACUCCGGUGGUAUGAGAUGGACCCGCGUCUGAUUAGCUAGUUGGAGGGGUAACGGCCCACCAAGGCGACGGUCAGUAGCCGGCCUGAGAGGGUGAACGGCCACAUUGGGACUGAGACACGGCCCAG
rnacentral:rRNA from 1 species